CGUCUACCCUUCAGGAUCAGGGAGUCUAAACUGGUGACAGCCCGAGACGAGGACCUCAGACCUCACAGCCCUGGGUUCCUUGGGCCAGCGGGGAGGGGGCAGGAAUCAGCACGUUUAUCCUGCAAACCCACACUCACCUGGGACUCCUCAGACCACGUGCGGGCAGGCGAGGGGGGCGGUCCAGCGCCUGGUCCUGGGUGAAAUGAAGCCGGUGAAGAGCGGCAGCUCCUGGUUCCCGGGGCCCAGCUGUCGCCUUAAAUGAGCUGCAUCACAAAUGCUUCCUGGGACACAGCGCCGCCAGAGAGGCCUUCCCAGGACGGGUUCCCCGAGGGUUCCAAUCCGGUAAAGGAAGGCCCGGGCCCCGGAGAACAGAAUGCGAAGUCCCUGACAGAGGCCACUGGCCAGUGCUCCCUGCCUCGCCUCCCCAGUGACAGGCUUUGAUCUGUCCACACUCCCCCACUCAGUGCAGGUGGGUUCCAUUCUGAACUUGAAAUCUACCAAUUCCUCCUGGUGGGCAGCAGAAACCACAGCCCAGCCAAACUCCUCCCUCUUCCGCCAAAGGAAGGCAGCCCCGUCCUGGCUCAGGAGCUG